rnacentral:rRNA from 1 species
CCUACGGGUGGCAGCAGUGAGGAAUAUUGGUCAAUGGGCGCGAGCCUGAACCAGCAAAGUAGCGUGAAGGAUGACUGCCCUCCGGGUUGAAAACUUCUUUUAUAAAGGAAUAAAGUGAGGCACGUGUGCCUCUUUGUAUGUACUUUAUGAAUAAGGACCGGCUAACUCCGUGCCAGCAGCCGCGGUAAUACGGAGGAUCCGAGCGUUACCCGGAUUUAUUGGGUUUAAAGGGAGCGUAGAUGGGUUGUUAAGUCAGUUGUGAAAGUUUGCGGCUCAACCGUAAAAUUGCAAUUGAUACUGGCAGUCUUGAGUACAGGUGAGGUAGGCGGAAUUCGUGGUGUAGCGGUGAAAUGCUUAGAUAUCACGAAGAACACCGGUGGCGAAGGCAGCUUACUAAACUGCCACUGACAUUGAUGCUCGAAAGUGUGGGUAUCAAACAGGAUUAGAUACCCUUGUAGUC